GGGCGGAGCGCGCAGGUCGGACUGGGCUCUCCGCGGUCCGCCCUGCGCUGGUGCCCGGCCGGUACCAGGAUGGGCUCUGGAGUCCCAGAGCCGCGCCCGCUAGAGCCCGGCGUCCCUCCUGCGUCCUGAGCUCAUGGACAGCGACUCCAAGCUGGCUGCGGCGCGCCCCCGGGCUGUGAAUGCGACUCGCUCAUCGUCCGCGCUCCCCGCCCGCCCGCCCGCCGGGACGAGGUAGGGGAUGCCUAGCUCCUCUGCGAUGGCAGUUGGCGCGCUCUCCAGUUCCCUCUUGGUCACCUGCUGCCUGAUGGUGGCUCUGUGCAGUCCGAGCAUCCCGCUGGAGAAGCUGGCCCAAGCUCCUGAGCAACCGGGCCAGGAGAAGCGCGAGCACGCGUCUCGGGACAGCCCGGGGAGGGUGAGCGAGCUCGGGCGCGCCUCGAGGGACGAGGGCAGCAGUGCCCGGGACUGGAAGAGCAAGGGCAGCCGCACGCUCUCGGGCCGAGAGGCGUGGAGCAAGCAGAAGCAGGCCUGGGCUGCCCAGGGCGGGAGUGCCAAGGCCGCGGACUGGCAGGUCCGGCUUCGCGGGGAUACCCCUCAGGGGGAGCCCCCAGCCGCCGCCCAGGAAGCGAUCAGCCUGGAACUCGUGCCCACACCGGAGCUGCCCGAGGAAUACGCCUACCCGGACUACCGCGGGAAGGGCUGCGUGGACGAGAGUGGCUUCGUGUAUGCGAUAGGGGAGAAGUUCGCCCCAGGUCCCUCAGCCUGCCCGUGUCUGUGUACGGAGGAGGGGCCCCUUUGCGCACAGCCAGAGUGCCCGCGGCUUCACCCGCGCUGCAUCCACGUCGACACCAGCCAGUGCUGCCCACAGUGCAAGGAGAGGAAGAACUACUGUGAGUUCCGGGGCAAGACCUACCAGACUUUGGAGGAGUUCGUGGUGUCUCCAUGUGAACGGUGUCGCUGUGAAGCCAAUGGUGAAGUGCUGUGCACAGUGUCGGCGUGUCCCCAGACGGAAUGUGUGGACCCCGUGUAUGAGCCUGAUCAGUGCUGCCCGAUCUGCAAAAACGGUCCAAACUGCUUUGCAGAAACCGCUGUUAUCCCAGCUGGUAGAGAGGUGAAGACUGACGAGUGCACCAUAUGUCACUGUACUUAUGAGGAGGGCACAUGGAGAAUUGAACGGCAAGCCAUGUGCACAAGACAUGAGUGCAGGCAAAUGUAGACUUCACAAUACAGAAACUCUCAUGUUUUUCUAGAAUAUUUUACUAAUGUGACAUUCUAGAUGACUCUGAGAAAUAUCAAUCAAAAACAGAAGACUUUGGAUAAGGAGUCAAGGAAAAUGGUUGGUACUUUUGUUUUUCUUGGUAACAAUUACAGCAAGAGACAGAAAUGGAUGUAUUUCAAAACAUCAAUAAGAACUUUGGGCAUACUCCCUCUAAAUAAAUGUGCUAUUUUCACAACAAUGACCUCUAGAAAGGAGACAGCAACAUCAAAGUGCUUUCCUCGCACUCCCAAGAAGCACAGAAGGGAAUGGACAGCACCAUGCUCUCCGAACUCAGCUGCACAGUCCUGACACUUGUCAGUUAAGAGUCACUCCUCCCAAAAGUGUUAAUCGCCUCCCUUUUCUACUUGCCACAUAUUUUGAUUUCUAAUUAAAUUGUAUUCAUGUCUUAUUAAAGUGGAUUUUCAAACAACAGUAGAUUUUUAUGGUUUUGUUUAUAAUUCUUGUACUGAGUUUAUAAAAUAUGGGCACAUAUAAUAACCCUUUCUGUACUGGUGACUUAAUUUUCCUGCUGUGGAAGAUACUUGACACAAACAGUAUAAAGGAUAAGAUAUUUAUCUUUGCUUACAGUUUUAGAUGUUUCAUCUCAUGGUUGCUUGGCUCCACGUAGCUCAGCAAUACAUUGUUGUAGUUGAAGCUUGUGGUUGGGUAGGUUCUCACCUCUGGCAGCAAAAAGAAAUGAAAGGGAGUAACCAGAAAUGAGGUAUAACAGUCACAAGCAUGCCCCAGGGAACAUACUUCUUCCCUCAGCCUUGCCUCUUAAAGAUUUCAUCAGCUUCCAAAAUAUGUCUAGGAAGCAUUCAUUGACCACGUGCCACAAAAUAGUCAACACAUGCGCCUGUGGGGGACAUUUCAUACUCAAAUAUUAAUGGACAUAUUAACAUAAAUUACCAUAUAUUAGCUAAUAAGGAAAACUAUCAUUUAUUAGAUGACAACUUAUGGAAAAUACUACAUUUUCAAUUCUAGUGUCUGCUAUCAUCAACUCUGCUUUAAGAAAAGCAUCAAGUUUCAGUGAUAUCACUGAGGUCAAAGCCCAGAAUAUGCACUAUACU